GACGAACUUUGGCGGCGUGCCUAAUACAUGCAAGUCGAGCGAGCGGAACUAACAGAUUUACUUCGGUAAUGACGUUAGGAAAGCGAGCGGCGGAUGGGUGAGUAACACGUGGGGAACCUGCCCCAUAGUCUGGGAUACCACUUGGAAACAGGUGCUAAUACCGGAUAAGAAAGCAGAUCGCAUGAUCAGCUUUUAAAAGGCGGCGUAAGCUGUCGCUAUGGGAUGGCCCCGCGGUGCAUUAGCUAGUUGGUAAGGUAAAGGCUUACCAAGGCGAUGAUGCAUAGCCGAGUUGAGAGACUGAUCGGCCACAUUGGGACUGAGACACGGCCCAAACUCCUACGGGAGGCAGCAGUAGGGAAUCUUCCACAAUGGACGCAAGUCUGAUGGAGCAACGCCGCGUGAGUGAAGAAGGUUUUCGGAUCGUAAAGCUCUGUUGUUGGUGAAGAAGGAUAGAGGCAGUAACUGGCCUUUAUUUGACGGUAAUCAACCAGAAAGUCACGGCUAACUACGUGCCAGCAGCCGCGGUAAUACGUAGGUGGCAAGCGUUGUCCGGAUUUAUUGGGCGUAAAGCAAGCGCAGGCGGAAGAAUAAGUCUGAUGUGAAAGCCCUCGGCUUAACCGAGGAACUGCAUCGGAAACUGUUUUUCUUGAGUGCAGAAGAGGAGAGUGGAACUCCAUGUGUAGCGGUGGAAUGCGUAGAUAUAUGGAAGAACACCAGUGGCGAAGGCGGCUCUCUGGUCUGCAACUGACGCUGAGGCUCGAAAGCAUGGGUAGCGAACAGGAUUAGAUACCCUGGUAGUCCAUGCCGUAAACGAUGAGUGCUAAGUGUUGGGAGGUUUCCGCCUCUCAGUGCUGCAGCUAACGCAUUAAGCACUCCGCCUGGGGAGUACGACCGCAAGGUUGAAACUCAAAGGAAUUGACGGGGGCCCGCACAAGCGGUGGAGCGUGUGGUUUAAUUCGAAGCAACGCGAAGAACCUUACCAGGUCUUGACAUCUAGUGCCAUUUGUAGAGAUACAAAGUUCCCUUCGGGGACGCUAAGACAGGUGGUGCAUGGCUGUCGUCAGCUCGUGUCGUGAGAUGUUGGGUUAAGUCCCGCAACGAGCGCAACCCUUGUUAUUAGUUGCCAGCAUUAAGUUGGGCACUCUAAUGAGACUGCCGGUGACAAACCGGAGGAAGGUGGGGAUGACGUCAAGUCAUCAUGCCCCUUAUGACCUGGGCUACACACGUGCUACAAUGGGCAGUACAACGAGAAGCGAGCCUGCGAAGGCAAGCGAAUUUCUGAAAGCUGUUCUCAGUUCGGACUGCAGUCUGCAACUCGACUGCACGAAGCUGGAAUCGCUAGUAAUCGCGGAUCAGCACGCCGCGGUGAAUACGUUCCCGGGCCU
rnacentral:rRNA from 1 species